rnacentral:rRNA from 1 species
UAGGGAAUCUUCCGCAAUGGGCGAAAGCCUGACGGAGCAACGCCGCGUGAGUGAUGAAGGUCUUCGGAUCGUAAAACUCUGUUAUUAGGGAAGAACAAAUGUGUAAGUAACUAUGCACGUCUUGACGGUACCUAAUCAGAAAGCCACGGCUAACUACGUGCCAGCAGCCGCGGUAAUACGUAGGUGGCAAGCGUUAUCCGGAAUUAUUGGGCGUAAAGCGCGCGUAGGCGGUUUUUUAAGUCUGAUGUGAAAGCCCACGGCUCAACCGUGGAGGGUCAUUGGAAACUGGAAAACUUGAGUGCAGAAGAGGAAAGUGGAAUUCCAUGUGUACCGGUGAAAUGCGCAGAGAUAUGGAGGAACACCAGUGGCGAAGGCGACUUUCUGGUCUGUAACUGACGCUGAUGUGCGAAAGCGUGGGGAUCAAACAGG